GCCUCGGUAGCGCAGUAGGCAGCGCGUCAGUCUCAUAAUCUGAAGGCCGUGAGUUCGAACCUCACCCGGGGCA